rnacentral:rRNA from 1 species
UACGGAGGGUGCAAGCGUUAUCCGGAUUCACUGGGUUUAAAGGGUGCGUAGGAGGGCAGGUAAGUCAGUGGUGAAAUCUUUGGGCUUAACCCGAAAACUGCCAUUGAUACUAUCUGUCUUGAAUAUUGUGGAGGUGAGCGGGAAUAUGUCAUGUAGCGGUGAAAUGCUUAGAUAUGACAUAGAACACCGAUUGCGAAGGCAGCUCGCUACGCAUAUAUUGACUCUGAGGCACGAAAGCGUGGGGAGCGAACAGG